rnacentral:rRNA from 1 species
UGAGGCGAACCGGGGGAACUGAAACAUCUAAGUACCCCGAGGAAAAGAAAUCAACCGAGAUUCCCCCAGUAGCGGCGAGCGAACGGGGAGGAGCCCAGAGCCUGAAUCAGUGUGUGUGUUAGUGGAAGCGUCUGGAAAGGCGCGCGAUACAGGGUGACAGCCCCGUACACAAAAAUGCACAUAUUGUGAGCUCGAUGAGUAGGGCGGGACACGUGGUAUCCUGUCUGAAUAUGGGGGGACCAUCCUCCAAGGCUAAAUACUCCUGACUGACCGAUAGUGAACCAGUACCGUGAGGGAAAGGCGAAAAGAACCCCGGCGAGGGGAGUGAAAAAGAACCUGAAACCGUGUACGUACAAGCAGUGGGAGCCUCUUAAUGGGGUGACUGCGUACCUUUUGUAUAAUGGGUCAGCGACUUAUAUUCUGUAGCAAGGUUAACCGAAUAGGGGAGCCGAAGGGAAACCGAGUCUUAACUGGGCGUUAAGUUGCAGGGUAUAGACCCGAAACCCGGUGAUCUAGCCAUGGGCAGGUUGAAGGUUGGGUAACACUAACUGGAGGACCGAACCGACUAAUGUUGAAAAAUUAGCGGAUGACUUGUGGCUGGGGGUGAAAGGCCAAUCAAACCGGGAGAUAGCUGGUUCUCCCCGAAAGCUAUUUAGGUAGCGCCUCGUGAAUUCAUCUCCGGGGGUAGAGCACUGUUUCGGCAAGGGGGUCAUCCCGACUUACCAACCCGAUGCAAACUGCGAAUACCGGAGAAUGUUAUCACGGGAGACACACGGCGGGUGCUAACGUCCGUCGUGAAGAGGGAAACAACCCAGACCGCCAGCUAAGGUCCCAAAGUCAUGGUUAAGUGGGAAACGAUGUGGGAAGGCCCAGACAGCCAGGAUGUUGGCUUAGAAGCAGCCAUCAUUUAAAGAAAGCGUAAUAGCUCACUGGUCGAGUCGGCCUGCGCGGAAGAUGUAACGGGGCUAAACCAUGCACCGAAGCUGCGGCAGCGACACUAUGUGUUGUUGGGUAGGGGAGCG